GAGUUUGAUCUUGGCUCAGAUUGAACGCUGGCGGCAGGCCUAACACAUGCAAGUCGAGCGGUAGAGAGAAGCUUGCUUCUCUUGAGAGCGGCGGACGGGUGAGUAAUGCCUAGGAAUCUGCCUGGUAGUGGGGGAUAACGCUCGGAAACGGACGCUAAUACCGCAUACGUCCUACGGGAGAAAGCAGGGGACCUUCGGGCCUUGCGCUAUCAGAUGAGCCUAGGUCGGAUUAGCUAGUUGGUGAGGUAAUGGCUCACCAAGGCGACGAUCCGUAACUGGUCUGAGAGGAUGAUCAGUCACACUGGAACUGAGACACGGUCCAGACUCCUACGGGAGGCAGCAGUGGGGAAUAUUGGACAAUGGGCGAAAGCCUGAUCCAGCCAUGCCGCGUGUGUGAAGAAGGUCUUCGGAUUGUAAAGCACUUUAAGUUGGGAGGAAGGGCAGUAAAUUAAUACUUUGCUGUUUUGACGUUACGACAGAAUAAGCACCGGCUAACUCUGUGCCAGCCG
rnacentral:rRNA from 1 species